rnacentral:tRNA from 1 species
UAUAAAAUGCCUGAAAAAGGGUUAUUCUGAUAGGAUAGAUUAUGUAAAUAAAAUUUUACUUUUAUAA